rnacentral:rRNA from 1 species
UGGGAAUUUUGGACAAUGGGCGCAAGCCUGAUCCAGCCAUGCCGCGUGCGGGAAGAAGGCCUUCGGGUUGUAAACCGCUUUUGUCAGGGAAGAAAUCUUCUGAGUUAAUACCUCGGGAGGAUGACGGUACCUGAAGAAUAAGCACCGGCUAACUACGUGCCAGCAGCCGCGGUAAUACGUAGGGUGCAAGCGUUAAUCGGAAUUACUGGGCGUAAAGCGUGCGCAGGCGGUUUUGUAAGACAGAGGUGAAAUCCCCGGGCUCAACCUGGGAACUGCCUUUGUGACUGCAAGGCUUGAGUGCGGCAGAGGGGGAUGGAAUUCCGCGUGUAGCAGUGAAAUGCGUAGAUAUGCGGAGGAACACCGAUGGCGAAGGCAAAUCCCCUGGGCCUGCACUGGCGCUCAUGCACGAAAGCGUGGGGAGCAAACAGGAUUAGACACCCUGGUAGUCCACGCCCUAAAACGUGUCAAACUGGUUGUUGGGAAGGUUCCUUCUCAGUAACGUAGCUAACGCGUGAAGUUGACCGCCUGGGGAGUACGGCCGCAAGGUUGAAACUCAAAUGAAUUGACGGGGUCAUAGCUGUUUCCU